rnacentral:rRNA from 1 species
AAGCGGAGGAAAAGAAACUAACAAGGAUUCCCCUAGUAGCGGCGAGCGAAGCGGGAAGAGCUCAAAUUUAUAAUCUGGCACCUUCGGUGUCCGAGUUGUAAUCUCUAGAAAUGUUUUCCGCGUUGGACCGCACACAAGUCUGUUGGAAUACAGCGGCAUAGUGGUGAGACCCCCGUAUAUGGUGCGGACGCCCAGCGCUUUGUGAUACAUUUUCGAAGAGUCGAGUUGUUUGGGAAUGCAGCUCAAAUUGGGUGGUAAAUUCCAUCUAAAGCUAAAUAUUGGCGAGAGACCGAUAGCGAACAAGUACCGUGAGGGAAAGAUGAAAAGCACUUUGGAAAGAGAGUUAACAGUACGUGAAAUUGUUGGAAGGGAAACGCUUGAAGUCAGACUUGCUUGCCGAGCAAUCGGUUUGCAGGCCAGCAUCAGUUUUCCGGGAUGGAUAAUGGUAGAGAGAAGGUAGCAGUUUCGGCUGUGUUAUAGCUCUCUGCUGGAUACAUCUUGGGGGACUGAGGAACGCAGUGUGCCUUUGGCGGGGGUUUCGACCUCUUCACACUUAGGAUGAUGGUGGAAUGGCU